GGCGACCAGUGUGGUUUUCAGUCAGUCGCGUGAGGACAGCCGCUCCACCGCCGGCAACAACGGGUGGCGGGCGGCUUGAACCUGCUCCGAAGGAUGAUAAAUAAGAGUUGGAAGGUCGUGUGUAUCUACGCUGCUCGCUCUGCAAAACGUGGUGAUGCAUCGCUGCUACCAUCACCAUCCUUCAUGGUGAAUGCAAUGACACGAGUUUGCUGUCUGAAGCAUAUCGACCUUCCAGUCUUACAGCUACAAGUCGAACUGCUACUUGCAUGGUGGAGUCUAAAGCUUCAAUUGCUUGAGCUGCUAUUCAAAACAUAUACUGCUAUAUCUACAACUUGCACGGGCGAAAGGCAUUAGCAAUCAGCAAUCAACGUUGCAAUGUGCCG